AGGAUCAACAUCUUCACCAAUGGGACUUGUGAAUGGGUGCUUUAUGUAAAAAUAUUUUGGCCCAAAAGACGUGUUGCCUUCAGUACUGUAGAGUGGAGUGAAUAGUGAUCGUGCAUGUUUUCCAGGUAACCUUGUUCUUCCUUGCUGAAGAGGGGUUGAAUCAACAUGAAUUGGGUCACCAUACAUGACCAUUUGUGAUAGGUUUUCUGGAAUUUCAAAAUCGUCCAGUGUCACACCUUUAUUUUCAGUUCCUCCACACAUCACUCCAAUCUCCUCUUCGUUUUCAAUGCAUUCUUCGACAAUUUCAGUCACAGUUACACCAUGAAUUGGUGACUGUGGAAUAUUGUCUUGUUGUUCAAGUUGUUGAGGAGAAGAAG
rnacentral:lncRNA from 1 species